UUAUGCGACAACAAACACUCACAGCACAUAACAUACGUUCUGAUUAACACAUCCGUCAUGGCGUUCUACGCUAAAUAGCAAGGUAUAAGACUAUGUACGCGAUGGCGUGCUCAACUGUUAACAGCAAAUAGAACCGACCUGGCAACCUGAAACGUCUGCUGAACAGCUGAAUCACAAGAACCUUCAAGCCGAGCAGGACUCAGAGAUGUCACAAUGUGAAGGAUGUCUUCAACUUUGCAAGUUCAAAUGCUAUCUCACUCACAGUAUUAUUACCAGCUGCCGAAGAGUUUACACACGAAAGAAGCAACAGAGCGACUGCUUUGAGCUAUUAUUGUCACCCAGCAUGCCUUGCGGGCACUAUGUAAUACCGUUCCAAUGUACCUGUACGUGUUUGUUGCUAGUACUUGUUAACAGAUGAGCCCUGGCAGAGGUCUGCGUCUGACUGAUUGCUACAGUGUCACCCCAGAUUCCCUGUCAGGGUGCCAUGGCUAUGUUCCCUAGGCGACAGCUCAGAAUUAAAAUACACUACAAUGACAAACAGUGGGACUGGCCCCCGUGGGGAGGCUGUGUAAGAUGUCAAGGGUUGUUUAUAAAGUUAACUUGGAAAUUGUUGGAAGAUGUUAUCUCAGUUUAUUAUUGAUUUGUUUUGAUAAUCAAGUGAUUGCAUGAAGAAUGCCGGUGACAGCAACUCAUACAGUGGUUUAUGCACAUAUACAGUAAGUCAGGGGAGUCCAAAGUGCGGCACACGGCCCCUUCUAAAAAUACAAUUUAACAAGAAAAUUUUAAAA